GCGGGAGUUGCCAAGCUUGGUCAAAGGCGUGAGGCUCAGAACCUCAUCUUAUAGUGGUUCGUGGGUUCAAAUCCCACCUCCCGCA
rnacentral:tRNA from 1 species